rnacentral:rRNA from 1 species
AUUGAACGCUGGCGGCAUGCUUUACACAUGCAAGUCGAGCGGCAGCGCGGGGGCAACCCUGGCGGCGAGCGGCGAACGGGUGAGUAAUGCAUCGGAACGUACCCUGGAGUGGGGGAUAACGCCGCGAAAGCGGCGCUAAUACCGCAUAUGCUCUGAGGAGGAAAGCGGGGGCUCGCAAGACCUCGCGCUACUGGAGCGGCCGAUGUCAGAUUAGGUAGUUGGUGGGGUAAAGGCCUACCAAGCCUGCGAUCUGUAGCUGGUCUGAGAGGACGACCAGCCACACUGGGACUGAGACACGGCCCAGACUCCUACGGGAGGCAGCAGUGGGGAAUUUUGGACAAUGGGCGCAAGCCUGAUCCAGCCAUGCCGCGUGCGGGA